UAGGAAAUCAGAAGCUAUCUCUGUCAGUGACAGAAAACCUUUCUGAGGCAAAAUGCUUAUCUGAAGAGAAUCUGUUGGCUGCUACACUAAACCAGGAUUCAGUUCAGAGUUGCACAGCCAAAGAGACUUGGAGCAAUUGUAAUGCAAAUAUUCCUGAUAUGAAGCAAAGAAGAAGA